rnacentral:rRNA from 1 species
ACGGCUCAGUAACACGUGGACAACCUACCCUGAGGUCGGGGAUAAACCCGGGAAACUGGGUAUAAUACCCGAUAGAUCUAGAUUGCUGGAAUGCUUUUAGGUCUAAAGUUCCGACGCCUCAGGAUGGGUCUGCGGCCUAUCAGGGUAGUAGUGGGUGUAACGUACCUACUAGCCCACGACGGGUACGGGUUGUGAGAGCAAGAGCCCGGAGAUGGAUUCUGAGACACGAAUCCAGGCCCUACGGGGUGCAGCAGGCGCGAAACCUUUACAAUGCUGGCAACAGCGAUAAGGGGACCUCGAGUGCUACGAUACAAUCGUGGCUGUCUAGUUGCCUAAAAAGCAAUUGAUAGCAAGGGCCGGGCAAGACCGGUGCCAGCCGCCGCGGUAACACCGGCGGCUCGAGUGGUAACCGCUAUUAUUGGGUCUAAAGGGUCUGUAGCCGGCUUAGUUAGUCUCUUGAGAAAUCUGGCCGCUCAACGGUCAGGCGUUCAGGGGAUACUGCUAAAGCUCGAGACCGGGAGAGGUGAGAGGUACUUCAGGGGUAGGGGUGAAAUCUUGUAAUCCUUGAAGGACCACCAGUAGCGAAGGCGUCUCACCAGAACGGAUCUGACGGCAAGGGACGAAAGCUAGGGGCACGAACCGGAUUAGAUACCCGGGUAGUCCUAGCCGUAAACGAUACUCGCUAGGUGUCGGCCACGGUGCGACCGUGGUCGGUGCCGUAGGGAAGCCGUGAAGCGAGCCACCUGGGAAGUACGGCCGCAAGGCUGAAACUUAAAGGAAUUGGCGGGGGAGCAC